rnacentral:ncRNA from 1 species
AAGGUGGGGAUGACGUCAAGUCAGCAUGGCCCUUACGCCUUGGGCCACACACAUGUUACAAUGGCCAGUACAACGGGUUGCCAAGCAGCAAUGCGGAGCUAAUCCCAUCAAAACUGGUCCCAGUUCGGAUUGAGGGCUGCAACUCGCCCUCAUGAAGUUGGAAUCGCUAGUAACCGUGGGUCAGCCACACCGCGGUGAAUACGUUCUCGGGUCUUGUACACACCGCCCGUCACACCACGAAAGUCGGCAACGCCCGAAGUCCUUCUUAUGGAGGCCUAAGGUGGGGUCGGUGAUUGGGGUGAAGUCGUAACAAGGUAUCCGUAGCGGAAGCUGCGGAUGGAUCACCUCCUUU